GGCUAGAGAGGAGCAUGCCUUGGCUUUGCACUCAGAUGAAACUGAGUUUAAUGACUACCUCUGGUGGGGGCCCUGCUGGGACCACACCUGCAUUGAUGUUCGCCUGGAUGCGGCCAGUCUCCGUAUGCCUCCCAGGACUGCAUCUUGACCCCUCAGCCAGGCUGGAUGCUCCCAGAGAACGCCUGUUUGCUCUUCUUCCAUCUCCAUCACCUCCAUCCUCCCAAACCCAGAACAGAGUAUGAGCCCAAUAGACCUCACAAAUGACCCACGACACUCGAGUCCCACCCCAAUCUCUACACAACACUGCUGUGCGGGCGUUUCCACAUGGCCCUGAGGACCAGCUCCACACUCCUCAAAGGGGUUCCUGACCCAGACAAGACUAAGAACCUGUGCCAGCCGC
rnacentral:lncRNA from 10 species